GGGGGAGGGGGGGGCGGCCGGCCAGCCCUCGGCAAGGACGGGGGCUCAGCGGCGCCUUCCGUUCAUCGGCUGCCGCUUCCCCCUUACACGCGUUCCCCUCCUUCCUGCCCUCCCCCGGCCGCUGCCGGCCUCCCUCAGGGAGAGGUACCGGCCAGGCGGCGCCUGGAAGCCGACCGGCGAAGAGAGGAGGCGGUGGCGCAGGCAAGCGGCCCUCCGGCUGCCAUCGCCCUCAGCAUGGUAUACAUACUGGAGAUGCAGAAACCACGUAGCAGAAAGCUUUGAGCAGUUGUGGAUUAUCAGUUUCUCCCAACAGCAAUAAAAAGUGAAGAAUGAGGGUGACUGGAUUUAUUUCCCUAUGGACGUUGGUUUCACUGCCUUGUGGCCAGUUAGCAAAUCCUGCAGAACAUGAAGAUGUAGUAAAACAUGCAAUAAAGCUGCACCGUGGGAAAGGAGCUGUUAUCGCUCAGAGAAAGCAGUGGGUGUUGGAGAGCUGCAGAAAACUGUCUGGCCUUCUUCGCCAAAAGAACGUUGUUCUCAACAAACUAAAAAAUGCUAUAAGAGCAGUUGAGAAGGAUGCAGGGCUGUCAGAUGAAGAGAAACUUUUUCAGGUGCAUACCUUUGAAAUUUUCCAAAAGGAGCUAAAUGAAAGUGAAAACUCAGUCUUUCAAGCAAUCCACGGCCUCCAGAGAGCUCUACAGGGUGAUUACAAAGAUGUUGUAAAUAUGAAAGAAAGCAGCAGACAGAGACUGGAAGCCUUGAGAGAAGCUGCAAUUAAGGAAGAAAUGGAAUACGUUGAACUCUUAGCAGCAGAAAAACAUCAGGUCGAAGCCCUUAAGAACAUGCAGCAUCAAAACAAAAGCCUGUCAAUGCUUGAUGAAAUUCUAGAAGAUGUCAGGAAGGCAGCCGAUAGACUGGAAGAAGAAAUAGAAGAGCAUGCCUUUGAUGACAACAAAUCUGUAAGAGGUGUUAACUUUGAAGCGGUUUUAAGGGUGGAAGAAGAUGAAGCCAACUCCAAAAGAAAUGCUUCAAAAAGAGAAGUAGAGGAUGACUUAGGUCUUAGUAUGCUUAUUGAUUCCCAGAACAAUCAGUAUAUCCUUACCAAGCCCAGGGAUUCAACGAUUCCUCGUGCUGAUCAUCAUUUCAUAAAGGAUAUUGUGACAAUAGGAAUGUUGUCUUUGCCAUGUGGCUGGCUGUGCACAACAAUAGGAUUGCCAACCAUGUUUGGGUAUAUCAUCUGUGGAGUACUCUUAGGACCAUCAGGACUAAAUAGUAUCAAGUCUAUUGUACAGGUGGAGACAUUAGGAGAGUUUGGUGUAUUCUUCACUCUCUUUCUAGUUGGUCUGGAAUUUUCUCCUGAAAGAUUAAGAAAGGUAUGGAAAAUAUCUUUGCAAGGACCCUGCUACAUGACGGUUCUGAUGAUUGCCUUUGGUUUACUAUGGGGACACUUGCUCCAAAUUAGACCAACACAAAGUGUCUUCAUUUCCACUUGUUUAUCUUUAUCAAGUACGCCAUUGGUGUCAAGAUUUCUUGCAGGUAGUGUUCGGGGUGAUAAAGAAGGGGAUAUUGACUACAGUAGCGUGCUGCUUGGCAUGUUGGUGAUGCAGGAUGUGCAGCUUGGUUUAUUUAUAGCUGUCAUGCCUACACUUAUUCAAGCAGGAGUGAGCACACAUUCCAGCAUUUUCAAGGAAAUACUGAGAAUACUGAUACUGAUUGGCCAAAUUCUCUUUUCUCUGGCUGCUGUUUUUCUUAUAUGUCUUGUUAUAAAGACUUACCUCAUAGGACCGUAUUAUCGCAAGUUACAUGCAGAAAGCAAAGGGAAUAAAGAAAUCCUCAUUCUAGGAAUAACUGCAUUCAUCUUCCUUAUGUUAACGAUCACAGAGCUGUUGGAUGUUUCAAUGGAGCUGGGAUGCUUCUUAGCCGGAGCUCUGAUCUCUUCUCAGGGUCACAUGGUUUCUGAGGAGAUUAUGUCCUGUAUUGAACCAAUACGUGACUUUCUUGCCAUCAUUUUCUUUGCAUCCAUAGCGUCUUGUUUCUUUAGCUAGGAAAAUGUUAUCUGUGUGUUCUCAACACAGGGAAAAAAUAAUUGAACAAGAUGUAUAUCAGAGACUACCUGAAUGCCAACAGAAAUGCAGCAUUGAUACCUAAGGAGAUUGGUACCAGGAGAGUAACUCAUUGUGCUUGUUAUCCAAAACAAGUUUACUCUGAGAAUAUUUACAGACAAUCAGUAGCUUAAUUUUGAACAGCUACAUUCUCUAGUUGUCCAUGCAUGCCCCAAAAUGCCUUCUCUAAAGGAAACUGAAAGAUGUUACUGAAGUGCUUAGGUACAGGGAAUAAGGAGACGGGCCCUGUGAAAGCACUUGUCUCUUCCUGUGCGUUGUAUAGGAAAUGCAUGUCCUAUUUUGGGGGUAUUGCAAAGCCCAAAGUAGGGGGUUUGAAUGCAUCCUGUUACACAAAUCCAACUUCCUUCAAAGCAUGCUUACUCAGAAAAUCCUUAGGGUUUGGUGGUUUGGUUUUUGUUUGUGGUUGUUUUGGUUUUUUUUCUCAAGACCACCCUUGGUUUUUCUUCUGAUUUUAACUUUUCGUCUGUUCUUUUUAUUUCCAUAUAUUUAUUCAGGUAAUAGUGAAGUCCCAUCAGCGUAAUUUUAAUGCCUCUCCUUAUGUACCUGUUUGAUAGCCAUUGUUCCAUAACAGAAACUAAAACUGUUUCUGGUGUUGUCAAAAUAAAAAGGAAAUGGUUAUGCUUGCCAGUCUUGAUUUUUGUUUUACCCAGUCCAUGAGAAUAGCCUGCGCUGAUCAGUCAGAUUGCUUAGUAAUAGAUGUUGAAUUUGAACAACUUUAUUUUUUAAGAAAGGGAGGAAAAUGGUGAGCUAUGGUAAAACUCUUGGGCCCAUAUAACUGACAAGGUUGGAUAAGUAAUUGCUAAAUGCUCACAGGUGAGUUCUUUAUGUGUUUUAGUAAAGAUGGCGAUGGAGCAGAUAAGUGUUACCAGGGUUACAAAGCAUGACAACUAAUUAAAAGCCCAAAGUUAAUUUUACAAUGGACUGAACACAAAUACUGUCCUACACUCUUGUGACUACAUAAAUUAAGACUGGAGGUGAGACUUUGGUACAGUACAAGAAAAUAGCAAGACCUCAGCUGGCAUGCUGGCAGCACUCCAUAUAGCCUACGUUAUACUGUAAGGAAAUUAUUUUGGUAGUUCAGUUACAGAAUUAAAAAAAAUAUAUUUUUUAACUGUUGCUACCAUUAUAAUUGCAAGAAGGGAAAGAAACUGCGUAACAAGUUUAUUUGGUUUUACAGAAAAUGGGUGUUAUUCCUGCCUAAGAGGAAAGUUAGCUAAAAAUCAGAAAAAUGAGCUAUGUUAUAGGGCUCUGACAAAAUGUGACAAUGCUUGCUUGUAAAACAAAAACAAAACCAAAAAACCCUACAAAAAUAUCAAAUCUCCCCCCCCCCCCCCCCCAAAUGUUAUCCCCCCCUUCACCCUUUACUUCCAAUUACUUUCAAAUUUUGUGGUUAACAGGAAGUUCAGUUCUGGGCCCCUCUGCGUUCAGUUUUGGGCCCCUCGCUACAAGACGGACAUUGAGGUGUUGGAGCGUGUCCAGAGAAGGGCUACAAAGCUGGUGAGGGGUCUGGAGGACAAACCUUAUGAAGAACGACUGAGGGAGCUGGGGUUGUUUAGCCUGGAGAAGAGGAGGCUGAGGGGAGACCUUAUCACCCUCUACAACUACCUGAAAGGAGGUUGUAGAGAGAUGGGGGCUGACCUCUUCUCCCUGGUGACAAGUGAUAGGACGAGAGGAAACGGGUUCAAGUUACGUCAGGGGAGGUUUAGAUUAGAUAUUAGGAAACAUUUUUUCACUGAAAGGGUUAUUAAACAUUGGCAUAGGCUGCCCAGGGAGGUGGUGGAUUCACCAUCCCUGGAGGUGUUUAAAAAAAGGGUAGAUGGGGCACUUAGGGACAUGGUUUAGAAGUGGCUCUUGUCAGGGUAGGCUAAAGGUUGGACUCGAUGAUCUUAAAGGUCCCUUCCAACCUCAACAAUUCUAUGAUUCUAAGUUUUGUGGGGUGGCACAGAGGUAGGUUUUACAAAGGAGUGAUGUUAUGUUGAAGAGAAAACCUGAGUAAGAUAAAAAGUAUUCUUUAAACUUUUUAAAAAGAAAUCUAGUAAGAAAAGACUUCUUGCUUGCUCUCUACUUAUAUAUGCAUGCAAAUGAUAUGUAUCCAUAGAGAAAUUUACUAUGUGAAAUUAUAUAAAGGCCCCAGGGAAAGAUUCUCCGUCCCCCCUCCCCGCUGUGCCUAAAGAGAAGGCUUGUUGCUAUAUGCAGCAAGCACCCUAUUAUAGAGAGCAGAAACACUUGAGAUCCUGAGGUGGGAUGGUAUACCACUGCAGCAAUAUAAUUUCUGUUCCUUUUAGAAUAAAGGAAUAAAUAGAAAAAUUUGACUUAAUUGAAAAGUGACUGUAAAUAAGUCAUUUGGAAAAGGUAGUUCCUAUUUUGCUUGUCUUGAAUGCCCGCUUUUCUGUUCUCACUACAGAAAUCCUUCUGGUGCCUAAAAGCCGAGCUGAAUCAUACUUGCUCGUGUAGUAUCUAUAGCAGUGGUCCUGCCCUUAGCUUGACCUGUGUAAUGCUACUGCUUGCAAAUUCGCGCAUGGGUGCAUUUGGGGGAAUAAUACCCCUUUGCAGUUAGGCAUUAACAGCUGUACUUUGAGUUACUCUCCAUCUGUGUGUCAGGCCUCUGUGUGUUCUUUAAGUUUUCUGGCUCUCUAUGCUGUCUGCUGAGGUUAGAAAGUUCCUGUCAGUUUCUGUCCUCACUGAUAUUUGUGAGAGCACAUCUGGACCAAUCCUUUAGAGCCACAUUUUGAGAACGAAUUUUCUCAUUUCUGUUUUGGUACCUAAUACUCAGAUCCUCCCCUUUCCACCUCUGCAUCGUUUGAUUUUGUUUUGAUUGCUUUUUAGAAAGAUGGAAGACAUCUUUGCAUAGACUGUUUGACUUCCCCCUUCCCCCGCCCCGCCUCAAGGCUCCAAUAUCCCAUUUUUUGUCAGUCUACAGGGUGUAUGGAGUUUGUAAUUGGGCAUCAGGACCCUACCUGCCAGCGGUGAGGAGGCACAUUGCUUCCACUGACUGACAAAGUUGUGUAUCCCCAAUGUUCUGUACACAUGUACUCGCUUGCCAGGCUCCAUGUUUCCCUUCUGGGUAAAUCUUGUGGUCAGCAUUGGACCUUGAAUGCAAGAUGCUGAAAACCCUUUAAGAGUGCGGUGUUUUUCUUCAGAAGAUGGGUGAUGCUGACAGCGUCAGCACUACCACUUUUCAGAACAAACACACACACAAUGUUUCUCUGAUGUGCCUCUUACCAUUUCUUUUGAAUUUGAGAGAAAUCAAGGAAAGAUCCCAACUGGAAUUCAUUAGGUGACAUACAUUGCCUUCUCGCUAUUCAUCCAGCUCUACUGCUUUGUUGUCCCCCGUGGAACACAAUGAAACUUGGAGGUUUCAAGCUUUCAGAACUGACAAUAGAAUCAAGAGGACUUUCCCCUUUGCAGAAAAAUAGAGAUGAAUGUUGGUUUUCCCCUCCCUACUUAAUCUAGCCAGGGCUGUAGCAUUUAUUGCAUUUGCUAGCUAUGAACUUAGGUUCAUUAAGACUCUGAUGUCCUGACUUGAGAACAUGCCAGAAUUCAUUCUACUGGCUUCAAUUUGACCAAACAAGUUCUGGUUUCUGUAAUCUUGUUUGCCAUCAAGGAUCUCCCGGAUUUAUUUCUCUUGAUGCUGGAUUUUCCAGGAUGUGGUCGUGACUGCAUUUGGAUCUUGACGUGCUGUUUAGCGGCCAUCCAGCAGAUUGGUGGAAUCUGUCUAAUCAGGGGGGAGGGGGAGUUUACCUGUUAAGAAAAAAGUACUUAUAAAAAGAAUGUGCAAAAUCUUGCCUGUAAUCAUCCAUAGAAGAACACGCACCAACUUACACGAGUGAACUGUGCUUUUUGGCUUGACAUUGAUGCAAGGUCACCUUCACCCCAAGGCCUCUAUUCCAGCUAUUCCAGAGCACUGUUUAGAAUUGAAGUCUGGUGGCAUAUGCUCAGCGCUCUGAAAACAUACCAAAGUGAUAUCCUAGUUAUUGGUAAGGGGUCAACGUGCCACAUGCUACCUGAUGAUGGUGCUGAAGUUCUUGAAAUAUUUGAUUGGAGUUUUUCUUCCAUUGUAGAGAACAAGUCCAUAGUGACUCCUGAGCUUAGUUGCAAAGUCUGAUUAAAACCAGUGAAGCGAAUGCCCAUAUUCACGUACCUUCUGUCUGUGAAGUUAAUCUUUCUGACGGCAUUGGAGUUGUCAGGAAGGCUUCAUGUGCUUGUAUAGCAGUCUGCCAUGACUUAUGGGGUUAUUCUGUUUUCGUCUUGGGCUGGGGCAAAUCCACUAUGAUUUAUUUCCCCCAAAACACGUCUGCGUGCUGGGAUGUUUGUUUGUUUGCUCAGAGUAGUCUAUGUAACAGGUUUAGGCUUGCUUCACCUUGCAAACACUUCCUCCACAGGUUAGUAUAGAAAUCUCUGGUAGUUUGUGCCUCAGCUCUUUUGAAUAUAGUAAUAAUCUCUACAUCGGGAAGCUGUUCCAAAUGAAGUUCAGGCUGCCUGUCUGCUCCAGAAGUGAAAAGGUACAAUAGCCAGUAGUGAUGCGAGCAUUGGGCUGUAUUUAUAGCCUCCCUCUGAAGUCUUCAAUUCCAGAUGUGGCAGAGUUGGCCCCCUUACCAAACAUGACAUUGUUACAGGCUGUAUUUCUCUAGUUGCUUUUCAUGUAUGUGAAUGAGCAAUGUGCAUAUGAUAAACAGUACAAAACCAGAAGCCACUUGCCCCUCGCGCGUUAGGAUUUCCUUUUUUUUGGGUGGUGUUUGUCUCUUAUUUUGCCAUGUUUCCCCUUAUUCUGAUAGUAUUCACUUGUGCUUCAGUAGAUGGAAGGAAAUUAAGAAAUAAAACAGGGUGUGUGCAUGCUGACUGGGUAGUACUUGUAUAAAAAUCCAGUGUACUUGAAGUACAUUUUCAUCCACAAUGGAAUGUGCAGAUGGACAAAACAUCAUGCAGUUACUGUAAGUAACUUCUCUUGCGCACUCAGGAAUAGAAGAUGACUAUUAGUUCUCUACAAUUCUUCUGGCUCUGCAGCUCUAUCGGACAGGGAAAAUGAGUGAAAACUUGUCUUGUGUUAAAAUAAAAUGUUACAGCAUCAAUUUACGUGCCUCAUGCUUUAGAAAGCUAAACUCUUGCCCUUCACCAGAAAUAACUGGGGUGGAGAACUGCCAAUUAUUACGGAUUUAUCAGGAGCAUCACCGCUAUUUUGGUUCCUCUUUUUAAGAAAGAGAUGUACUUCCAAAGAUACACAGUUAUGUUUGCCUGCAGAAGUUCCUCAUACCCUAGGAGGAAAAAAAGGACUUAAUCAGCUGGGAGUAAGGUUCUUCCUCAGUGACUCCAGGACUUCUACAACAAAUACUACUUUUUCUUCUGUUUAAUACUAGCAUGAUUUAGUUUUAAAUUUCAGUGCUCUUUAUUGUUCUUGUUGUCUUGCUUCAUAUAAUUACCCAAUAAAAAUGACAAAAACAUUGAACAAAAAAAAAAAACCAAACCACAGACACCUACCCCCACCCCCCAAAAAACUCCUUCCAACAUCAUCAUAGCAGUGGGGUUUUGUAUAAUUCCGUAAUUGUUAGACCAUGCUCAGGGUUUACAACUUUACCUGAUUCCAGUCUAAGUGACUUUUCCGGUUCAGGUGACUUCAGCGUUUGCAUGCGAGGGGCAUGGGAUCAAAACAAUUACAUUUUCUGCUGUAGCUAUAGUCUGUGCAAAUACUGAAUAUCAUGUUCCUCCCACAGGAUAGUCCAUUACCAUGUUAUACAAAAAUGUUAAAUGGCUAGCAAAGUGUACGUUACAAUCGCUGUGCAGAACAAUGGAAUUGUUUUCCUGCAGUAUUUUUAUAGCUUUCAUUAGAGGUGUGUUUUAGUUCAGAUUCUGGAUUGUUGACUGGUGUGGAAGAGAGGAAAACUGAUAAAUGAAAGUGCUCAUGCAUUGGUCAUACAUAAUUUAACUCAAUUGGGAAUAUUGUUUGUGCUAAACCUAUCCAAAGGAAAAAUGAUUGGAUGAUGUAGGAGGUGCUUUAAUGGUUAAGUAGGUAGUGUUGGUAGGUAUGCUAGGGCUUUUGUUUGUUUGUUUUUGAGUUUAAUUAAACCUAUUACUAACUCAGAAAAUUAUCAUAGCAAGAUUUUGGCCUUAAACUUUGAAAUAUUGUUUUCUUUCCUUCCAGGACUUCAUGUUUUCCCCACCUUUGUAAUAUAUGAACUCACAGUCUUACUAUUCCUUACAUUGUCCGUGGUCAUAAUGAAGUUUGUCUUGGCAGUGCUCGUGCUUUCUCUGAUUCUUCCAAAGACCAGCCAGUAUAUCAAGUGGAUUGUCU